AGCCAUAUCAUGCUGGAAACACUGGUUAUUGUAUAAUCACUGAAGUUAAGCAACAUCGAGUUUGGUCAGUACCUAGAUGGGUGACUGCUUGGGAAUGCCAGGUGCUG